AGAGUUUGAUCCUGGCUCAGAACGAACGCUGGCGGCGUGCUUAACACAUGCAAGUCGAACGCGAAAGGGACUUCGGUCCUGAGUAGAGUGGCGCACGGGUGAGUAACGCGUAAGUGAUCUACCCCUGUAUUUGGGAUAACUAUGGGAAACUGUAGCUAAUACCGGAUACGUUCAUGUAGUUGCGAUUAUGUGAAGAAAGAUGGCCUCUGAUUCAAGCUAUUGUACAGGGAGGAGCUUGUGUACCAUUAGCUAGUUGGUAGGGUAAUGGCCUACCAAGGCAACGAUGGUUAGCGGGUCUGAGAGGAUGAUCCGCCACACUGGAACUGAAACACGGACCAGACUCCUACGGGAGGCAGCAGUGAGGAAUAUUGCGCAAUGGGGGCAACCCUGACGCAGCGACGCCGCGUGGAUGAUGAAGGCCUUCGGGUCGUAAAAUCCUGUCAGAUGGAAAGAAGUGUGAUGUGGUUAAUACCCAUGUCAUUUGACGGUACCAUCAGAGGAAGCACCGGCUAACUCCGUGCCAGCAGCCGCGGUAAUACGGAGGGUGCAAGCGUUGUUCGGAAUUACUGGGCGUAAAGCGCGCGUAGGCGGUUUGUUAAGUCAGAUGUGAAAGCCCAGGGCUUAACCUUGGACGUGCAUUUGAAACUGGAAGGCUAGAGUACUGGAGAGGGUGGUAGAAUUCCACGUGUAGCGGUGAAAUGCGUAGAGAUGUGGAGGAAUACCAGUGGCGAAGGCGGCCACCUGGACAGUAACUGACGCUGAGGCGCGAAAGUGUGGGUAGCAAACAGGAUUAGAUACCCUGGUAGUCC
rnacentral:rRNA from 1 species